CAGAUUUCAGAAUGUGGACUGGCCUUUAGCCAGAAAAGAAACCCAAACCAUGGGACUAUUGUGGUCAAAGCAGGACAUUAGACAUGCACAAUGUUUGAGCUGCCACUACACUUGUAACACUUUACUACUACUGCAGUAGAGAGUGACAAAGUGCAUCUUUCUGUCCCUUCACUAAACUAAAAAAGUUUGAGAGUCCGAAGAGAGUAGACACAAAAUGAAUUAGGGAAAGCUCCAGCACCUUAAAACAGCAGACAGAAC